AGAGAUCAUUGUUACCUUCAUUUUACAGACGAGGAGACAGGAACUCAGAAUGUUAAGUCACCUGCCACAGGUCACAGAGCAGGCCUGGGGACCCAUUCCAGGCCCGUCUAGUGCGCAAGCCCACACCCUUAACUGCCACGGUACAGAUGGAACUAGCCAAGCUCUCAGGUGCCCAAACCCCACGGGUCCCCUGAAAUAUCCCUGCCUGCAUUUUUCCACUGGCAAACUCCUACUCAUCCUUUGAUGCCCAUGGGAUAUCACUGGUGAGCCCACAGAGCAGCCCUGGAAGCUCAGCCAGGUCCUGGACUUGCCUGGGUUUUUGAGCAGCCUUGACCACAGCGGCUGUAUGUGAUCCUGGGCAACGCCUCGUGUCUCUGAGGGCUCAAUCUGCCCAUAUGGAAAACUAGAGGCUCAGCCUGGAGGCACCUGACACCAAGGGACCCUGAGGACCAGGUUUGGGCUGGAACCUUAUGCAUGUGCCCAGUGUGAUUAUGACUCUUGUAUGAGUGCAUCAUGCCACAAGGCCAGUCUCAACGCUGCCAGUCACCUGCUACAUGGGAGCUUGAGCAAACCUUCCCGACCUUGCCGAUUCUCAGGUUAAUCUGUAGAACGGAAAAUAAUAAUACCCCACCCUGCGGUGGUGAUCUGUGGUGAGGAUUACAGGGCCUGGCCCAGAGCAUAUGCUCCAGAGGUUCUCGCUACUGUGGUCAGUGCAGAAAAACGUUCUGUGCCAGUCCCUGCAAGUCACAGUAGGGGGUGGCAGAGGGAGGGGGCUGAGGAUGUCAGUUUAGACAAUUAGAGAAGCGAACCUGCGAACCUGCGUAGGUCGUGGUUUUGUGGCCCGAGGUGAGCAGGGAGGCUGCGUCUCCAAGCUUCUUUCUACCUGGUGUGGUUUCUCUAAGACCGCAGGACAGUGUUAAAUAGAUGGGAGCAGUUCCUCAGGACAGGAGCCCAGUUCAGCGGAGCAGGAAGGACAUGUCUUUGGUGGCUACAUGUGUUGGGGGAUGUGAUCAGAGGAGGAUCAGAAGAGAGAUGGCCUGGCAGGAGUCAGAGCAUGGAGGAAAACCUCAAUGACAGGAAAAAGAAAUUUGGACUUUCUCCCACAAAAGCCAGUUACUGUGUCACCGCCUCCACCCCACACAUAGACACACACACACACACACACACACACACACACACACACACACGGAUUCAGGGCAUGCUGUGUGAUCUGGGAGUUGCUUAACCUCUCUGAGCUGGAUUUUCUCCCCUUCCCUUCUGGUAGCAAGCCCAGUCCAGGAUCCACUACUGAGGACGACAGAGGAGGUGGCUGCGAGGACUCAGGCGUGAGCUGGUGGGGCUCCAGGUGUCCUAGGCCUGCUGAAGGACCCGGGAAAAGCCAGCAGGAGAAAGGAAGCAGAUGAAUUGCGAGCUGGAGCCAGUGGGAGGAGAUGCUGUGACAGGUGGUAGAGACGCGGUGACAAGUGCAUGAGCCUCCAAGCCCAGACACCUGGAGCCCUGACACCUGGAGCCCCACAAGCUCGGCUCACCAAGAGGAGAUGUCUGUGACUACGCUGCUCCCAUCCCUGACAUCUCUGGGCCACCCUCCCUCUUCACCAGCCACCCCUCCGGCCACCACUCCCCUCCUUGUCCUCCAGGAUCCAAUGUCUGUCUCACACCCGCUCCCCAUAGGAAGGCCUGGUAGUCUUAAACCCAGAUGCGACCGUGAGUCUCCCUUCACCAAGUCCUGGGUCCCUGGACCACCUUCGGCGCCCUGCCUGACCCUCGGCUUCUGUCUUGCUGCACUGCAUCCCCAUGUGCUGGGUGAACUGUGUUCUUGGGGCCUCCUGACCCUGCAUGCAGGCCUGGAGCAGAGAGGCUGAUGAAAAAUGUACUCUUUUACCAUAAUCAGAGAACAAGAGAAUGAUGACUCCUAUUUACCAAGCAAUGCUUUGGCGUCCUCCUGUCUGUGAUCCUGUCACCGACAACUGCCAGGUGUUCCUGCUUCUGGGAAGUUAUGGAGAGAUGUGGGGGGAGGGGCACCCCUUCCCGGAGCCUUCCUCUCUCCCGCCUGAUUCACCCCACCUGCCAUGAGCCCUGAUCUCCUUGGGGGUAGAUCUGUCUGGCUCUUCCCCACCACGGGGCCUGGCACUGGGGAGGGUGUGAGAGAUGCUGAGGGCUGGGGGUUGGCGCCUUUCUUUAUGCAACAAUAGUCAUUUAUUAAGCACCUACUGUUUGCGAGGGCCUCUGCUGAGCAUCAUGAGUCCUGCCUCCCUGCGGUUCGGGUCUAUGAAGGGCUGGAUGAUAAUUAUAUAUUACUCGAUUUUAAGGAGGACAAGAACUCAUAGCAGGGCAUGGUCUCCCCUAUGGGUACUGGGAGUGGGACCCCAAAGGCCCGGGACCUCCCCCAAACAGCCGGGCCAGGCGUCCUAAGUGGAGCAUAUGCUCUCCUCACCUCCCGAGUGUCUUCCCCUUGCUGCAGGUAGCAGAGCCAAGUACCCAGAGAGGUGGGUUCUUGGGUGCCAGCGCACCAGGGAAGGGACAGACUGUGGCUGCCCAUGGCUCCAGUGCACAGGCCUGGGCCUCUGUGGGGGCAGAAUGGCAGCACUUUGUGCUCUAGGUACCAGGCCUCAGGAACCCAAGCCAAGGAGGCCCACUGGCCAGUGAGGCCAGCGGCAGAAGUCCAGGUGUCACUCAUUCACUCACUCAGCAGAUACUUAUUUUAUGCCUCCUCCGUGCCAGAUGCUGAGAAUAAAUGAUGAUGAGACAGGUUCCUGCCCUCUGGAGUUACAGCCUCUCCUGGAGGAAGCCUUUGUUUUAUUUAUCUGAUUAAACUUUCCUACUCAUGUACCAUUUUCAGACUCAGACAUAUUCUUUUUUCUGUUUGCUUUUUAUUUCAUAUGGGCUGGCAAUACAGAAGCCAAGAUAUUAAUUAAUAAUACUUAAAAAUAUUAAAAUUUGAUAGAGUAUUCCAAAAAUGAGUCAAAAUAAAUCUUCACAAAGAGGCACAUGAUUGGAAUAAUGAUCAUGAAAAAUCUGAUAACCUUGGGGUCAGGAGAGAAAAUCAGAUAGCAUUAAGAUGUGAGAGUACACGGGGAUCCCUGGGUGGCUCAGCGGUUUAGCACCUGCCUUUGGCCCAGGGCGCUAUCCUGGAGUCCCGGGAUGGAGUCCAACGUCGGGCUCCCAGCAUGAAGC